UACAGGUCAUCGCAGGACCUGAUAUGCCAGCUAGAGGGGUUUGACAAGAGGGAAAAAGCAAAUCACCUAGAUGUGGAUGCAAGGCGAUGAUCCGUCUUCACAAGACAGAUGACCAUGGUUGGUUUUUGGAGACAAAUCGGCCAGAUCACAACCACCCGCUGGCUGACAAUUGCGGUGAGAAAAUGCAAUGGAACUCACACAAAAGGAUUGACCAAGCAAUGAAAGACACUGUCCGCUACCUGAGAGAGAACAAUGUCAACCUCAGCAAAGUGCAUUGUAUUCUGGGCAGCAUGCACCGUGCAAUCGGAAAGAGAGAGGUGGCUGGCCGAUAGAGAAGCAUGCCCGCCGUAUCUACACACGACAGUGAUGAAGCUUUUCAAUCUGAAUGUGGUUUGUUUGGACAUUUCUAUGUGAAUGUGGUUUGUUUGGACAUUUCGUUGUCGUGUGCGCGCAUGUCAUUAGGCUGAUGAUACACCUUGGAUUGAAUCAGAUCCCUGACUUCCACAUAAUGAAGCGGUGGACAAAAUCUUCUAGGGACAUUUUGGGUCCAAGUGUUGAGGGCCCCAAAGAGACGGAGUUGUCAUUGCCAAAGUCUUUUUGGCACAACAUAAUGUACGUCAGCGCCCUGGAGGUUGUAAAAAUGGGUGAUUUAGCAGGCUAUUGUAGUUUUCUUGACCUUGUCUGUUGCAUUUUCAGAUGAACUCUGCAAUGCCAUAUCUUAGCUAUUGUAAGGGAUUUCUAUUGUAAUUUUCUUGACAUUUUCCGUUGCCAGAGCUUAGCUACUUUGUUGGUUGAGACAAGAGAUUGCUCAAUUAUGUGUUGUGCACUUUGCACAUUGUUACAGAAAAUUAUUUGUCCUGUGCAAAGUGUUAUAUGCUGGUAAAGAGCAACUGAACUAACUAGAGGAAUUCCAGGAUGAAAAUGAUGUAGC